AAACCAGAGGAGAGCUGUGUUUACUCUGCUGUGAAGACUGGAUCAUCUCCAGAUGACGGUCUGAUGUAUGAACAGGUUCUCUUCCAUAAGAAAGGUAAAGCCAAGAGAGACAAAGGACAAUCAGCUCCUGCAGCAGCUGAAGAAACAUUUUAUUCUGAAAUCAAACCAGGAACAUCUCAUGGUCAAUAAAGAUCUGUAUCAACAAAACCAUCUGAAUAGAUCAUAAAAGUGAAGCUACUCACAUGAAUAGCAGAUAUUUAAAGACAUAAACCAGCUGAAUGUGCUGCUUUUAGUGCAGAUGUAUUUUAUAAAAAGCUUCAGUUUGUAUGAAUGUAGUGAUCGUGUGGCUUUAAUAUCAGCAUCUUUUUCACUUCUUCAUGUUCUGUCAUCAAACAUCAUUCUGUUACAUGUCCACUUAAAGAAGCUAACUAUGUUGAGAAGAACUGAUAGUAUAACAAGUAUUUUAUGUUUCCCUGAACUGAUUAAGUAUAUUGUAAAAAGCUUGGCCUUUUCUAACAAUGUUAUGCAUCAAUAAACUUUUUAAUUUUU